rnacentral:lncRNA from 1 species
CAAAACUACAACCACUCACCCCAUCUCCUUCUUCCCAACCCCUCAUCCAAAACCAAAACAACUUCCACCCGGCCGUCGAAGUCAUCUCCGGCAUCACCACCUCAACGUCGGCCCAACGCCGCCUCAAAAUCAUGCACCACCACCAUCAUCGAUUUUUUCUUCAUCUACAAAUAUGUAUACAGGUAUGGUGACUGUGUAUGUUUCUUAUGUUUUUCAGUUUUAAGGCCAAUCGUUCUCAAAGUGAUCGUGAUCAAGCUGGGUCCCUGAAUUCCAAGGAUUUUGAUAAGAAGAAGGGAAUUUAGACGGCUCUGUUUCUUUGGAAAGUGCCAUCGUUGCAAACGCUAGUAAGUAUCAAUUCAUUUCUGGUAAAAAUGUCAGUGAAUUAAUGGAAGAAACGAAAACUAUAAAAUUUGAAAUGUUUGUGGGCUCAAAUGAGGGUUUUGUUAGUACUAAUCAUCAACAAAUUCUUGAUAGUGAAUUUUUGCAAAACCGAAAAUUUUUAGAGGUGCAGUCACAAGAAAAUUUUCAACAACUUGAUGAGGAAAAAAGCAAGACAAGAAUUGGAGAUUAUUAUAGAGGAAAAAAUUGUUGUGGAUUGUGAAAUUUUUCUGGGUUUUUUCUGCACCAAUGGUGAUGGUUGGUACUUUCCCCUUCUCUUCAAUCCUUCUCUCCAACACAAUUCGAUGGUGGUCGUGCUUGAUUUUGAUACGGCGUUGGGCCGACGUUGAGGUAGGGGUGCCGGAGAUGGCUUCGACGACUGGGUGGAAGUUGUUUUGGUCUUGGGUAAGCCGGUGAGGUGGUUGGGGAAGGAGGAGUGGGGUGGGUGGUUGCAGUUUUGUUUUUGG